rnacentral:rRNA from 1 species
GGACUACCGGGGUAUCUAAUCCUGUUCGCUCCCCUAGCUUUCGCACCUCAGCGUCAGGUGAUCGCCAGGACACUGCCUUCGCCUUUGGUGUUCUUCCGGAUCUCUACGCAUUUCACCACUCCACCCGGAAUUCCGUGUCCCUCUCGAUCCCUCUAGUCUCUCCGUUUUGAAGGCACUCGUUCGGUGAAGCCGCUCGCUGUCACCCUCAACGCGAGAAACCGCCUGCGUGCCCUUUACGCCCAGUAACUCCGGACAACGCUUGCCCCCUACGUAUUACCGCGGCGGCUGGCAC